rnacentral:rRNA from 1 species
GAUGAACGCUGGCGGCGUGCUUAACACAUGCAAGUCGAACGGUGAACACGGAGCUUGCUCUGUGGGAUCAGUGGCGAACGGGUGAGUAACACGUGAGCAACCUGCCCCUGACUCUGGGAUAAGCGCUGGAAACGGCGUCUAAUACUGGAUAUGUGACGUGAUCGCAUGGUCUGCGUCUGGAAAGAAUUUCGGUUGGGGAUGGGCUCGCGGCCUAUCAGCUUGUUGGUGAGGUAAUGGCUCACCAAGGCGUCGACGGGUAGCCGGCCUGAGAGGGUGACCGGCCACACUGGGACUGAGACACGGCCCAGACUCCUACGGGAGGCAGCAGUGGGGAAUAUUGCACAAUGGGCGCAAGCCUGAUGCAGCAACGCCGCGAGAGGGAUGACGGCCUUCGGGUUGUAAACCUCUUUUAGCAGGGAAGAAGCGAAAGUGACGGUACCUGCAGAAAAAGCGCCGGCUAACUACGUG